rnacentral:rRNA from 1 species
CCUACGGGUGACAGCAGUGAGGAAUAUUGGUCACUGGACGAGAGUCUGAACCAGCCAAGUAGCGUGAAGGAUGACUGCCCUAUGGUUUGUAAACUUCUUUUAUAUGGGAAUAAAACGUUCCACGUGUCGGGUUUUGUAUGUACCUUAUAAAUAAGGAUCGGCUAACUCCGUGCCAGCAGCCGCGGUAAUACGGAGGAUCCGAGCGUUAUCCGGAUUUAUUGGGUUUAAAGGGUGCGUAGGUGGAUUGUUAAGUCAGUUGUGAAAGUUUGCGGCUCAACCGUAAAAUUGCAGUUGAUACUGGGAGUCAUGAGUAUAGUAGAGGUGGGCGGAAUUCGUGGUGUAGCGGUGAAAUGCUUAGAUAUCACGAAGAACUCCGAUUGCGAAGGCAGUUCACUGGACCGAAACUGACACUGAGGCUCGAAAGUGUGGGUAUCAAACAGGAUUAGAUACCCUAGUAGUC